rnacentral:rRNA from 1 species
AAUCAACGCUGGCGGCGUGCCUAACACAUGCAAGUCGAACGCGAAGACCCCGCAAGGGGUUGGUAGCGUGGCAAACGGGUGAGUAACGCGUGGGCGACCUACCUCAGAGUGGGGGAUAACCUUCCGAAAGGGAGGCUAAUACCGCAUGACAUGCCCUGUUUAGAUACAGGGACAUCAAAGCCGGGGAUCGUAAGACCUGGCGCUUGGAGAGGGGCCCGCGUCCGAUUAGCUAGUUGGUGGGGAACGCUCACCAAGGCUCCGAUCGGUAUCCGGCCUGAGAGGGCGGACGGACACACUGGAACUGAGACACGGUCCAGACUCCUACGGGAGGCAGCAGUGGGAAUUGUUCGCAAUGGGCGCAAGCCUGACGACGCAACGCCGCGUGGAGGAUGAAGACUUU